UAUGGAAGGCAGCAGGGGGAAUAUUGCACAAUGGGCGCAAGCCUGAUGCAGCCAUGCCGCGUGUAUGAAGAAGGCCUUCGAGUUGUAAAGUACUUUCAGUCGUGAGGAAGGUGUUAAGGUUAAUAACCUUAGCAAUUGACGUUAGCGACAGAAGAAGCACCGGCUAACUCCGUGCCAGCAGCCGCGGUAAUACGGAGGGUGCGAGCGUUAAUCGGAAUUACUGGGCGUAAAGGGCACGCAGGCGGUUAAUUAAGUUGGAUGUGAAUCCCCGGGCUUAACCUGGGAAUGGCAUUCAAGACUGGUUAGCUAGAGUCUUGUAGAGGGGGUAGAAUUCCAUGUGUAGCGGCGAAAUGCGUAGAGAUGUGGAGGAAUACCGGUGGCGAAGGCGGCCCCUGGGACAAGACUGACGCUCAUGUGCGAAAGCGUGGGGAGCAAACGAGGAUUAGAUA
rnacentral:rRNA from 1 species